UACGUAGGGUGCGAGCGUUGCCCGGAUUUAUUGGGCGUAAAGGGCGCGUAGGCGGCCACGCACGUCCGUUGUGAAAUCGCCCGGCUCAACUGGGCGGGGUCAGCGGAUACGGUGUGGCUCGAGCAAGCUAGGGGGCAAUGGAAUUCCCGGUGUAGUGGUGAAAUGCGUAGAUAUCCGGAGGAAUACCAAAGGCGAAGGCAGUGUCCUGGGGAGUGUCUGACGCUCAGGCGCGAAAGCUAGGGGAGCGAACAGG
rnacentral:rRNA from 1 species